CAGUCGCCACGGGAAUACGGAGGGUGCAAGCGUUAAUCGGAAUUACUGGGCGUAAAGCGCACGCAGGCGGUUUGUUAAGUCAGAUGUGAAAUCCCCGGGCUCAACCUGGGAACUGCAUUUGAAACUGGCAAGCUAGAGUCUCGUAGAGGGGGGUAGAAUUCCAGGUGUAGCGGUGAAAUGCGUAGAGAUCUGGAGGAAUACCGGUGGCGAAGGCGGCCCCCUGGACGAAGACUGACGCUCAGGUGCGAAAGCGUGGGGAGCAAACAGGAUUAGAUACCCCUGUAGUCCCUGUCUCUUAUAC
rnacentral:rRNA from 1 species